UACGUAGGUGGCAAGCGUUAUCCGGAAUUAUUGGGCGUAAAGAGCGCGCAGGUGGUUGAUUAAGUCUGAUGUGAAAGCCCACGGCUUAACCGUGGAGGGUCAUUGGAAACUGGUCGACUUGAGUGCAGAAGAGGGAAGUGGAAUUCCCGGUGUAGCGGUGAAAUGCGUAGAGAUCGGGAGGAACACCAAUGGCGAAGGCAGGUCUCUGGGCAGUUACUGACGCUGAGGAGCGAAAGCAUGGGUAGCGAACAGGAUUAGAUACCCCCGUA
rnacentral:rRNA from 1 species